AUUGAACGCUGGCGGCGUGCCUAACACAUGCAAGUCGAGCGGUAACAGGUGUAGCAAUACAUGCUGACGAGCGGCGGACGGGUGAGUAACGCUUGGGAAUCUGCCUAUUAGUGGGGGACAACCCGGGGAAACUCGGGCUAAUACCGCAUACGCACUACGGUGGAAAGCCGGGGACCGCAAGGCCUGGCGCUAACAGAUGAGCCCAAGUCGGAUUAGCUAGUUGGUAGGGAACGGCCUACCAAGGCGACGAUCCGUAACUGGUCUGAGAGGACGACCAGUCACACCGGAACUGAGACACGGUCCGGACUCCUACGGGAGGCAGCAGUGGGGAAUAUUGGACAAUGGGGGCAACCCUGAUCCAGCGACGCCGCGUGGGUGAAGAAGGCCUGCGGGUUGUAAAGCCCUUUCGGUGGGGAAGAAAGUCUCGACCUAAUACGUCGGGACCUUGACGUAACCCACUAAAGAAGCACCGGCUAACUCUGUGCCAGCAGCCG
rnacentral:rRNA from 1 species